GGAAGCCUGACGCAGCGACGCCGCGUGAGGGAUGACGGCCUUCGGGUUGUAAACCUCUUUCAGCAGGGACGAAGCGAAAGUGACGGUACCUGCAGAAGAAGCACCGGCCAACUACGUGCCAGCAGCCGCGGUAAUACGUAGGGUGCAAGCGUUGUCCGGAAUUAUUGGGCGUAAAGAGCUCGUAGGCGGUUUGUCGCGUCGGCUGUGAAAGCCCGGAGCUCAACUCCGGGUCUGCAGUCGAUACGGGCAGACUUGAGUGUUGCAGGGGAGACUGGAAUUCCUGGUGUAGCGGUGAAAUGCGCAGAUAUCAGGAGGAACACCGGUGGCGAAGGCGGGUCUCUGGGCAACAACUGACGCUGAGGAGCGAAAGCGUGGGGAGCGAACAGGAUUAGAUACCCUGGUAGUCCACGCCGUAAACGUUGGGCGCUAGGUGUGGGGGCCAUUCCACGGUCUCCGUGCCGCAGCUAACGCAUUAAGCGCCCCGCCCGGGGAGUACGGCCGCAAGGCUAAAACUCAAAGGAAUUGACGGGGGCCCGCACAAGCGGCGGAGCAUGUUGCUUAAUUCGAUGCAACGCGAAGAACCUUACCUAGGCUUGACAUGUGCGGAAAUCCUCCAGAGAUGGUGGGUCCGUAAGGGUCGCACACAGGUGGUGCAUGGUUGUCGUCAGCUCGUGUCGUGAGAUGUUGGGUUAAGUCCCGCAACGAGCGCAACCCUCGUUCCAUGUUGCCAGCGGAUAAUGCCGGGGACUCAUGGGAGACUGCCGGGGUCAACUCGGAGGAAGGUGGGGAUGACGUCAAAUCAUCAUGCCCCUUAUGUCUAGGGCUGCAAACAUGCUACAAUGGCCGGUACAAAGGGCUGCGAUACCGCGAGGUGGA
rnacentral:rRNA from 1 species